AGAGUUUGAUUAUGGCUCAGGACGAACGCUGGCGGCGUGCUUAACACAUGCAAGUCGAACGGAAAGGCCCUGCUUUUGUGGGGUGCUCGAGUGGCGAACGGGUGAGUAACACGUGAGUAACCUGCCCUUGACUUUGGGAUAACUUCAGGAAACUGGGGCUAAUACCGGAUAGGAGCUCCUGCUGCAUGGUGGGGGUUGGAAAGUUUCGGCGGUUGGGGAUGGACUCGCGGCUUAUCAGCUUGUUGGUGGGGUAGUGGCUUACCAAGGCUUUGACGGGUAGCCGGCCUGAGAGGGUGACCGGCCACAUUGGGACUGAGAUACGGCCCAGACUCCUACGGGAGGCAGCAGUGGGGAAUAUUGCACAAUGGGCGGAAGCCUGAUGCAGCAACGCCGCGUGCGGGAUGACGGCCUUCGGGUUGUAAACCGCUUUCGCCUGUGACGAAGCGUGAGUGACGGUAAUGGGUAAAGAAGCACCGGCUAACUACGUGCCAGCAGCCGCGGUGAUACGUAGGGUGCGAGCGUUGUCCGGAUUUAUUGGGCGUAAAGGGCUCGUAGGUGGUUGAUCGCGUCGGAAGUGUAAUCUUGGGGCUUAACCCUGAGCGUGCUUUCGAUACGGGUUGACUUGAGGAAGGUAGGGGAGAAUGGAAUUCCUGGUGGAGCGGUGGAAUGCGCAGAUAUCAGGAGGAACACCAGUGGCGAAGGCGGUUCUCUGGGCCUUUCCUGACGCUGAGGAGCGAAAGCGUGGGGAGCGAACAGGCUUAGAUACCCUGGUAGUCCACGCUGUAAACGGUGGGUACUAGGUGUGGGGUCCAUUCCACGGGUUCCGUGCCGUAGCUAACGCUUUAAGUACCCCGCCUGGGGAGUACGGCCGCAAAGCUAAAACUCAAAGGAAUUGACGGGGCCCCGCACAAGCGGCGGAGCAUGCGGAUUAAUUCGAUGCAACGCGUAGAACCUUACCUGGGUUUGACAUGGAUCGGGAGCGCUCAGAGAUGGGUGUGCCUCUUUUGGGGUCGGUUCACAGGUGGUGCAUGGCUGUCGUCAGCUCGUGUCGUGAGAUGUUGGGUUAAGUCCCGCAACGAGCGCAACCCUUGUUCACUGUUGCCAGCACGUUAUGGUGGGGACUCAGUGGAGACCGCCGGGGUCAACUCGGAGGAAGGUGGGGAUGACGUCAAGUCAUCAUGCCCCUUAUGUCCAGGGCUUCACGCAUGCUACAAUGGCUGGUACAGAGAGUGGCGAGCCUGUGAGGGUGAGCGAAUCUCGGAAAGCCGGUCUCAGUUCGGAUUGGGGUCUGCAACUCGACCUCAUGAAGUCGGAGUCGCUAGUAAUCGCAGAUCAGCAACGCUGCGGUGAAUACGUUCCCGGGGCUUGUACACACCGCCCGUCAAGUCAUGAAAGUUGGUAACACCCGAAGCCGGUGGCCUAACCGUUGUGGGGGAGCCGUCGAAGGUGGGACUGGUGAUUAGGACUAAGUCGUAACAAGGUAGCC
rnacentral:rRNA from 1 species